UACGGAGGGUGCAAGCGUUAUCCGGAUUCACUGGGUUUAAAGGGUGCGUAGGUGGGCUGGCAAGUCCGUGGUGAAAUCUCCGAGCUUAACUCGGAAACUGCCGUGGAUACUAUUAGUCUUGAAUACUGUGGAGGUAAGCGGAAUAUGUCAUGUAGCGGUGAAAUGCUUAGAUAUGACAUAGAACACCGAUAGCGAAGGCAGCUUGCUACACAGUCAUUGACACUGAGGCACGAAAGCGUGGGGAGCAAACAGG
rnacentral:rRNA from 1 species